ensembl:lncRNA
UAUGAAGUUUCUAGGCUAGGGGUCAAAUCCAAGCUGCAGCUGCUGGUCUAAGUCACAGCCACAGCAAUGCCAGAUCCAAGCCGCAUCUGUGACCUAUGCCACAGCCUUGUGGCAACAUCUGAUCCUUGAUGCACUGAGCAAGGUCAGGGAUCAAACCCGCAUCUUCAUGGAUACUAGCUGGGUUCUUAACCUGCUGAGCCACAACAGGAACUCCCCCAACCUUGCUUCUUAAACCAGAAGACUAGAGAUCCUCUUUUUAGUCCCCAACUCAGGGCUGAAGGGACUCAUCAUCUGCAGGAUUUUACACUCUGCCCUCCCUGGGAGCCACCAACCAUUUGGUGUGUCACACGCCAGCCUUCUGGCUGGUGCUGCGGCCACCUGGCUCUUGCAAUGGGACUUUUCUCAUUCUCUCCCUCUGGGACAAAAAAGUCCUUCUGAGAGGACAAGAACAUGGUACGCAGGUGGAGAGCUUUGACGUUUUCUUCUUUUUAGGGCUGCACCUGUGGCAUAUGGAGGUUCCCAGGCUAGGGGUUGAAUCAGAGCUGUAGCUGCUGGCCUUCACCACAGCCAUAGAGCUGCUAGAUCUGAGCUGCAUCUACAACCUACGCCGCAGCUUGUAGCAACACCAGAUCCUUAACCCACCGAGUGAGGAAUUGAACCUGCAUCCUCAUGGAGACCACAUUUGAUCCUUAACUCAUUGAGCCACAGUGGGAACUCCAGCUUACACAUUUUUUGCAUAAAGCUCUGAGGUCAACAUUCUCAUCUCUACAAGGACACAGAUGUACUUGCACAUCGCAGAGGGCCUGGUUCUCCACAAGCCUUAGUUUCUGCACUGAAAACGAACAUUUCUAAAACAGGGGCAGCUUAACAGGAAAGGGAAAGACACGAGGAAAAAAGAAAGUCCCUGGGCCGUCAUUUUUAAAACAGUGGGAGUUCCCGUCGUGGUGCAGUGGUUAACGAAUCCGACUAGGAACCAUGAGGUUGCGGGUUUGAUCCCUGCCCUUGCUCAGCGGGUUAACGAUCCGGCGUUGCCGUGAGCUGUGGUGUAGGUCGCAGACUUGGCUCGGAUCCUGUGUUGCUGUGGCUGUGGUGUAGGCUGGCGGCUACAGCUCCGAUUAGAUCCCUAGCUUGGGAACCUCCAUAUGCCACGGGAGUGGCCCAAGAAAUGGCAAAAAGCCAAAAAAAAAACACACGUCCCACCCCUGGAGCAUCAGCUUCAGUAGGCAUCUCAUAAGUUCCUGGCCGAGGGUGGGCAUGGGAGAGUGGGGGCAGGGGGAGGGGAGGCUGAGGCUGCUGGUCCAAGGACCACUCUUUGAAAACCACAGAGCUGGAGUACAGCAUCCAAAAGCAGUGAACGGGAAGCAUGCUAACGUGUCUACAGCAUGCGACUUCAUUGGGUUCCUCUUAGAAAUCUGUUUUAUGAAGUCCGGGUGGUUUCGAAGUUUAAAAAGCAUCUAUUAAUUGUGUUUUGAAGCAGAUGCUAUUAGUGGGAGACUCUUCUUGGCCUCCCUCCCAGCUAAACGUGGCCACUCUGUCCAUCUGCUAACAGUGCAGCUUCGUCGAAGCAGACACCCUGCCAGCCCGAGGGACACUGGCAGGGCCCCUUUCCUUUUACCAGGCCUGAAGGCAGAUGCCAGCCUUGCUUAGAUGAGGGCCCCGAACGCUGUUGCUGAGUCGGGACCACAGGAGGUGUGCCACGCACGUUGUGAGUACGUGUAAACACUCUCCAAAGACACAAACCCUUUCAGUCUAGCAGACGUUAAGGCAUCUUUCUCUGUAUAACUAUGUCCAAUUUCAUUUGCACUCCUCUGGGUUUACUCCUGGAAGCCAUUCAAGUCCACUAGCCCAGAACAAGCCUACGCUUUCACCGGCUUCUCCAGCCAGAUUCCACCUGUCUUCAGCGGGAGAGGCUGGCACACAGAACGCCUGACUGCUCCAGUGGUUUCUUUUUUCUUUUCUAACAUACCUCCCUGCUCCCCACCAGACCUGUAGGUUCUCUGACUUUAUUCCCAAGCACCACCUAGGCUGGUAGGUCAAGAAUACAACAGUCCAUCUCUUCGCAGUGGAAAUUACCCAUCUCAUUUCUUAAGAAACCGUUUUCUGACCCGGGUUUCUGGAGGUCACACGUUUUUCAGAGCCCCCAGUGUAUUUCGCUUGGGCAUAUCAGAAGCUCAGUUUUCAGCAAGGUGGGCAAUUUUGACUAAAUGCGGCUGUCAAGGCCUCAAAUUAGAAGAAACAUUAGCCAGUUGGCAUGACAGUGCAAUAGCUAUCUGCUCUAUCUGCCAGGUUUUCGUUACCAGCCUUGAAGCCAAAAAGAAAUGGGCUUCUUGGAAACAAGUGAUGGAAUUCUGGUUGUGAAUUAUAUAACCCACCAGCUUUCCUCAGACAACGGGGGAUACUUUUAAAAUAAAGUUUUUAAGAUGGAGAAAUGAAUGAAAAACAGUGAAAAAAAAAAAAAAAAA